rnacentral:rRNA from 1 species
AUACGGAGGGUGCGAGCGUUAAUCGGAAUUACUGGGCGUAAAGCGCGCGUAGGCGGCUUUGUAAGUCGGAUGUGAAAGCCCAGGGCUCAACCCUGGAAUUGCAUUCGAUACUGCAGAGCUAGAGUAUGGUAGAGGGAAGUGGAAUUUCCGGUGUAGCGGUGAAAUGCGUAGAUAUCGGAAGGAACACCAGUGGCGAAGGCGACUUCCUGGGCCAAUACUGACGCUGAGGUGCGAAAGCGUGGGGAGCAAACAGGAUUAGAAACCCGAGUAGUCC